UACAGAGGUCCCAAGCGUUGUUCGGAUUCACUGGGCGUAAAGGGUGCGUAGGUGGUGAGGUAAGUCGGAUGUGAAAUCUCCGAGCUCAACUCGGAAAUGGCAUUGGAAACUACCUUGCUCGAGGGUUGGAGGGGGGACUGGAAUGCUUGGUGUAGCAGUGAAAUGCGUAGAUAUCAUGAGGAACACCGGUGGCGAAAGCGGAUACCUGGAAGAUUCCUGACUCUGAAACACGAAAGCUAGGGGAGCAAACGGG
rnacentral:rRNA from 1 species